UACGGAGGGGGCGAGCGUUAUUCGGAAUUAUUGGGCGUAAAGGGCGCGUAGGCGGCCCGGUAAGUCAAAGGUGAAAUCCCUCGGCUCAACUGAGGAACUGCCUUUGAAACUGUCGGGCUUGAGGCCGGGAGGGGGUAGCGGAAUUCCCAGUGUAGCGGUGAAAUGCGUAGAUAUUGGGAAGAACACCAGUGGCGUAGGCGACUAGCUGGGCCAUAACUGACGCUGAGGAACGAAAGCCAGGGGAGCGAAUGGG
rnacentral:rRNA from 1 species